rnacentral:rRNA from 1 species
GAUGAACGCUAGCGGCAGGCCUAACACAUGCAAGUCGAGGGGUAUAGGGAGCUUGCUUCCUAGAGACCGGCGCACGGGUGCGUAACGCGUAUGCAAUCUACCUUGUACAGGGGAAUAGCCCAGAGAAAUUUGGAUUAAUGCCCCAUAGUAUUAUUAAAUGGCAUCCUUUAAUAAUUAAAGUUCCAACGGUACAAGAUGAGCAUGCGUCCUAUUAGUUAGUUGGUGUGGUAACGGCAUACCAAGACGAUGAUAGGUAGGGGUCCUGAGAGGGAGACUCCCCACACUGGUACUGAGACACGGACCAGACUCCUACGGGAGGCAGCAGUGAGGAAUAUUGGACAAUGGCGCAAGCCUGAUCCAGCCAUGCCGCGUGCAGGAAGACGGUCCUAUGGAUUGUAAACUGCUUUUAUACAGGAAGAAACACUGGUUCGUGAACCAGCUUGACGGUACUGUAAGAAUAAGGAUCGGCUAACUCCGUGCCAGCAGCCG